ensembl:lncRNA
AUGCUGCUACAACAACAACAACAGGAUCAACAGAAACUGAAGCUUCCACAACCAACAACAACACCAUCAACAGAAACGGAAGCUUCCACAAACAUAGAUGUGACCCCCACAACCACACUUAUAUCCUCACCAAGUACAACUACACUUUCAACAGUAACAAAUGCUGCUUCAACAACAACAGCACCAUCAACAGAAACUGAAGCUUCCACAACUAUGGAGGUGAUCCCCACAGCCACACUUAUAUCCUCACCAAGUACAACUGCGCCUUCAACAGCAACAAAUGCUGCUUCAACAACACCAGCACCAUCAACAGAAAUGGAAGCUUCCACAACCGUAGAUGUCAUUCCCACAACCACACAUAUAUCCUCACCAAGUACAACAAUAGCAUCAUCAUCAGAAACCGACGCUUCCACAACCAUAGAGGUGACGCCCACAACCACACUUAUAUCCUCACCAAGUACAACUACACUUUCAACAGUAACAAAUGCUGCUUCAACAACAACAGCACCAUCAACAGAAACUGAAGCUUCCACAGCAAUAGAUGUAUUCCCCACAACUACUCUCAUAUCCUCACCAAGUACAACUACACCAUCAAAAACAACAAAUGCUGCUUCAACAACAACAACACCAUCAACAGAAACGGAAGCUUCCACAAACAUAGAUGUGACCCCCACAACCACACUUAUAUCCUCACCAAGUACAACUACACUUUCAACAGUAACAAAUGCUGCUUCAACAACAACAGCACCAUCAACAGAAACUGAAGCUUCCACAGCAAUAGAUGUAUUCCCCACAACUACUCUCAUAUCCUCACCAAGUACAACUACACCAUCAAAAACAACAAAUGCUGCUUCAACAACAACAACACCAUCAACAGAAACGGAAGCUUCCACAAACAUAGAUGUGACCCCCACAACCACACUUAUAUCCUCACCAAGUACAACUACACUUUCAACAGUAACAAAUGCUGCUUCAACAACAACAGCACCAUCAACAGAAACUGAAGCUUCCACAGCAAUAGAUGUAUUCCCCACAACUACUCUCAUAUCCUCACCAAGUACAACUACACCAUCAAAAACAACAAAUGCUGCUUCAACAACAACAACACCAUCAACAGAAACGGAAGCUUCCACAAACAUAGAUGUGACCCCCACAACCACACUUAUAUCCUCACCAAGUACAACUACACUUUCAACAGUAACAAAUGCUGCUUCAACAACAACAGCACCAUCAACAGAAACUGAAGCUUCCACAACUAUGGAGGUGAUCCCCACAGCCACACUUAUAUCCUCACCAAGUACAACUGCGCCUUCAACAGCAACAAAUGCUGCUUCAACAACACCAGCACCAUCAACAGAAAUGGAAGCUUCCACAACCGUAGAUGUCAUUCCCACAACCACACAUAUAUCCUCACCAAGUACAACAAUAGCAUCAUCAUCAGAAACCGACGCUUCCACAACCAUAGAGGUGACGCCCACAACCACACUUAUAUCCUCACCAAGUACAACUACACUUUCAACAGUAACAAAUGCUGCUUCAACAACAACAGCACCAUCAACAGAAACUGAAGCUUCCACAGCAAUAGAUGUAUUCCCCACAACUACUCUCAUAUCCUCACCAAGUACAACUACACCAUCAAAAACAACAAAUGCUGCUUCAACAACAACAACACCAUCAACAGAAACGGAAGCUUCCACAAACAUAGAUGUGACCCCCACAACCACACUUAUAUCCUCACCAAGUACAACUACACUUUCAACAGUAACAAAUGCUGCUUCAACAACAACAGCACCAUCAACAGAAACUGAAGCUUCCACAGCAAUAGAUGUAUUCCCCACAACUACUCUCAUAUCCUCACCAAGUACAACUACACCAUCAAAAACAACAAAUGCUGCUUCAACAACAACAACACCAUCAACAGAAACGGAAGCUUCCACAAACAUAGAUGUGACCCCCACAACCACACUUAUAUCCUCACCAAGUACAACUACACUUUCAACAGUAACAAAUGCUGCUUCAACAACAACAGCACCAUCAACAGAAACUGAAGCUUCCACAGCAAUAGAUGUAUUCCCCACAACUACUCUCAUAUCCUCACCAAGUACAACUACACCAUCAAAAACAACAAAUGCUGCUUCAACAACAACAACACCAUCAACAGAAACGGAAGCUUCCACAAACAUAGAUGUGACCCCCACAACCACACUUAUAUCCUCACCAAGUACAACUACACUUUCAACAGUAACAAAUGCUGCUUCAACAACAACAGCACCAUCAACAGAAACUGAAGCUUCCACAACUAUGGAGGUGAUCCCCACAGCCACACUUAUAUCCUCACCAAGUACAACUGCGCCUUCAACAGCAACAAAUGCUGCUUCAACAACACCAGCACCAUCAACAGAAAUGGAAGCUUCCACAACCGUAGAUGUCAUUCCCACAACCACACAUAUAUCCUCACCAAGUACAACAAUAGCAUCAUCAUCAGAAACCGACGCUUCCACAACCAUAGAGGUGACGCCCACAACCACACUUAUAUCCUCACCAAGUACAACUACACUUUCAACAGUAACAAAUGCUGCUUCAACAACAACAGCACCAUCAACAGAAACUGAAGCUUCCACAGCAAUAGAUGUAUUCCCCACAACUACUCUCAUAUCCUCACCAAGUACAACUACACCAUCAAAAACAACAAAUGCUGCUUCAACAACAACAACACCAUCAACAGAAACGGAAGCUUCCACAAACAUAGAUGUGACCCCCACAACCACACUUAUAUCCUCACCAAGUACAACUACACUUUCAACAGUAACAAAUGCUGCUUCAACAACAACAGCACCAUCAACAGAAACUGAAGCUUCCACAGCAAUAGAUGUAUUCCCCACAACUACUCUCAUAUCCUCACCAAGUACAACUACACCAUCAAAAACAACAAAUGCUGCUUCAACAACAACAACACCAUCAACAGAAACGGAAGCUUCCACAAACAUAGAUGUGACCCCCACAACCACACUUAUAUCCUCACCAAGUACAACUACACUUUCAACAGUAACAAAUGCUGCUUCAACAACAACAGCACCAUCAACAGAAACUGAAGCUUCCACAGCAAUAGAUGUAUUCCCCACAACUACUCUCAUAUCCUCACCAAGUACAACUACACCAUCAAAAACAACAAAUGCUGCUUCAACAACAACAACACCAUCAACAGAAACGGAAGCUUCCACAAACAUAGAUGUGACCCCCACAACCACACUUAUAUCCUCACCAAGUACAACUACACUUUCAACAGUAACAAAUGCUGCUUCAACAACAACAGCACCAUCAACAGAAACUGAAGCUUCCACAACUAUGGAGGUGAUCCCCACAGCCACACUUAUAUCCUCACCAAGUACAACUGCGCCUUCAACAGCAACAAAUGCUGCUUCAACAACACCAGCACCAUCAACAGAAAUGGAAGCUUCCACAACCGUAGAUGUCAUUCCCACAACCACACAUAUAUCCUCACCAAGUACAACAAUAGCAUCAUCAUCAGAAACCGACGCUUCCACAACCAUAGAGAUGACGCCCACAACCACACUUAUAUCCUCACCAAGUACAACUACACUUUCAACAGUAACAAAUGCUGCUUCAACAACAACAGCACCAUCAACAGAAACUGAAGCUUACACAACCAUACAUGUGACCCCCACAACCUCUCUCAUAUCCUCACCAAGUACAACUGCAGCAUCAACAACAACAAAUGCUGCUUCAACAACAACAGCACCGUCAACGGAAACUGAAGUUUCCACAACCAUAGAGGUGACACCCUCAACCACUCUGAUAUCCUCACCAAGUACAACUGCAGCAUCAACAACAACAAAUGCUGCUUCAACAACAACAGCACCGUCAACGGAAACUGAAGUUUCCACAACCAUAGAGGUGACACCCUCAACCACUCUGAUAUCCUCACCAAGUACAACUGCAGCAUCAACAACAACAAAUGCUGCUUCAACAACAACAGCACCGUCAACGGAAACUGAAGUUUCCACAACCAUAGAGGUGACACCCUCAACCACUCUGAUAUCCUCACCAAGUACAACUGCAGCAUCAACAACAACAAAUGCUGCUUCAACAACAACAGCACCGUCAACGGAAACUGAAGUUUCCACAACCAUAGAGGUGACCCCCACAACCACUCUGGUAUCCUCACUAAAUACAACAACAGCACCAUCAACAGAAACUGGAGCAUCCGCAACCAUAGAUGAGAUCCCCACAACCACUCUUAUAUCCUUACCAAGUUCAACAACAACAGAGCCAUCAACAGAAACUGAAGCUUCCACAACCAUAGAGGUGACCCCCACAAUCACUCUCAUAUCCUCACAAAGUACAACUGCACCAUCACCAGCAACAAAUGCUGCUUCAACAACAACAACAGCACCAUCAACAGAAACUGAAGUUUCCACAACCAUAGAGGUGACCCCCACAACCACUCUGGUAUCCUCACUAAAUACAACAACAGCACCAUCAACAGAAACUGGAGCAUCCGCAACCAUAGAUGAGAUCCCCACAACCACUCUUAUAUCCUUACCAAGUUCAACAACAACAGAGCCAUCAACAGAAACUGAAGCUUCCACAACCAUAGAGGUGACCCCCACAACCACUCUCAUAUCCUCACCAAGUACAACUGCACCAUCAACAACAACAAAUGCUGCUUCAACAACAACAGCACCAUCAACAGAAACUGAAGUUUCCACAACCAUAGAGGUGACACCCACAACCACUCUGGUAUCCUCACUAAAUACAACAACAGCACCAUCAACAGAAACUGGAGCAUCCGCAACCAUAGAUGAGAUCCCCACAACCACUCUUAUAUCCUUACCAAGUUCAACAACAACAGAGCCAUCAACAGAAACUGAAGCUUCCACAACUACAGAGGUGACACCCACAACCACUCUGAUAUCCUCACUAAAUACAACAACAGCACAAUCAACAGAAACUGAGGCUUCCACAACAAUAGAUGUGACCCCCACAACUACGAACAGAGCCUCACCAAGUACAA